rnacentral:rRNA from 1 species
GAUGAACGCUGGCGGCGUGCUUAACACAUGCAAGUCGAACGAGAAUCAACGGAUUGAGGAUUCGUCCAAAUGAAGUUGAGGAAAGUGGCGGACGGGUGAGUAACGCGUGAGGAACCUGCCUCGGAGUGGGGAAUAACAGUUGGAAACGACUGCUAAUACCGCAUGAUGCAUGAUCAGGGCAUCCUGGGCAUGCCAAAGAUUUAUCGCUGAAAGAUGGCCUCGCGUCUGAUUAGCUGGUUGGUGAGGUAACGGCCCACCAAGGCGACGAUCAGUAGCCGGACUGAGAGGUUGACCGGCCACAUUGGGACUGAGAUACGGCCCAG